UCCACGCCGUAAACGAUGUCAACUAACCGUUGGGCGCAUUGAGCGCUUAGUGGUGGAGCUAACGUAUUAAGUUGACCGCCUGGGGAGUACGGCCGCAAGGCUAAAACUCAAAUGAAUUGACGGGGGCCCGCACAAGCGGUGGAGCAUGUGGUUUAAUUCGAUGCAACGCGAAGAACCUUACCACCCCUUGACAUCCAGAGAAUCUGUUCGAGAGAGUAGAGUGCCUUCGGGAACUCUGAGACAGGUGCUGCAUGGCUGUCGUCAGCUCGUGUCGUGAG
rnacentral:rRNA from 1 species